CCUACGGGUGGCAGCAGUGGGGAAUAUUGCACAAUGGGGGAAACCCUGAUGCAGCGACGCCGCGUGAAUGACGCAGUAUUUCGGUAUGUAAACUUCUAUCAGCAGGGAAGAAAAUGACGGUACCUGACCAAGAAGCCCCGGCUAACUACGUGCCAGCAGCCGCGGUAAUACGUAGGGGGCAAGCGUUAUCCGGAUUUCCUGGGUGUAAAGGGAGCGUAGAAGGCAGUGCAAGUCUGAAGUGAAAACCCGCGGCUCAACCCCGGGACUGCAUUGGAAACUGUGCGGCUGGAGUGUAGGAGAGGCAAGUGGAAUUCCUAGUGUAGCGGUGAAAUGCGUAGAUAUUAGGAGGAACACCAGUGGCGAAGGCGGCUUACUGGACAGCAACUGACGUUGAGGCUCGAAAGCGUGGGGAGCAAACAGGAUUAGAUACCCGAGUAGUC
rnacentral:rRNA from 1 species